GGACUGUCCAGAUGCUCGUCCACGUUCAACCGAGAACCUUCCGCCUGGGACCUUCAUAAAUUAAAGUCUGGACAAUGACCCAACACACCUCCAGACUGUGUAAGGGCUAUUUGACCAAGAACAAGAAUGAUGGAGUGCUGCAUCAGAUGACCUGACCUCCACAAUAAAUCGACUUCAACCGAAUUGAGAUGGUUUGGGAUGAGUUGGACCGCAGAGUGAAGGAAAAGCAGCCAACAAGUGCUCAGCAUAUGUGGGAACUCCUUCAAGACUGUUGGAAAAGCAUUUCUCAUUAAGCUAGUUGAGAGAAUGCCAAGAGUGUGCAAAUCUGUCAUCAAGGUAAAGGGUGAAUACUUUGAAGAAUCUAAAAAAGAUUUUGAUUUGUUUAACACUUUUUUGUUUACUACGUUAUUUUAUAGUUUUGUUGUCUUCACUAUUAUUCUAAAUAUUGAAAAUAGUAAAAAAUAAAUUAAAACCCUUGAAUGAAUAGGUGUGUCCAAACUUUUAACUGGUACUGUAUUUCUAACAAUAUCAGACUAGUAUUAGACAUACUUGACUACUCAGACCUAAUAACCAAGGAUAGUUUCAUAUCAUUUAUAGAUUUUUCUAAAGCUUUUGACACAGUGGAGCAUCCGUUCCUCAUCCAUUCCCUUGAGAAAUUUGGCGUUGAUGAUGUUUUCUGUAAGGCUAUUGACUCUCUAUACGAAUGGUAACAGCUCUAUUAAACUGACACAUGGCACUUCACCUAGAUUUGAGUUAAAGAGAGGAAUUAGGCAAGGUUGUCCUAUCUCACCGUAUCUGUUUUUAUAAAUCAUCCAACUUCUUACAUUCUUUAAAUAAUAGUCCUGUACAAGGUAUUUCCAUAGCUGGUAAAGAAGUUAUUAUAAGCCAGCUGGCUGACUAUUUUCUGAAAGACGCUAAUCAUCAUCAUGUUGUGGGGGUGCUUACAGCAAGAGGGACUGGUGCACUUCACAAAAUAGAUGGCAUCAUGAGGAGGACAAUUAUGUGGAUAUAUUGAAGCAACAUCUCAAGACAUCAGUCAGGAAGUUAAAGCUUCGUUGCAAAUUAGUCUUCCAAAUGGACAAUGACCCCAAGCAUACUUCCAAAGUUGUGGCAAAAUGGCUUAAGGACAACAACAUUAAGGUAUUGAAGUGGCCAUCACAAAGCCCUGACCUCAAUCCUAUAGGAAUGUGUGGGCAGAACUGAAAAAUCGUGUGCGAGCAAGGAGACAUAGAAACCUGACUCAGUUACACCAGCUGUGUCAGGAGGAAUGGGAGGAGGAAAAUUCACCCAACUUAUUGUGGGAAGCUUGUGGAAGGCUACCUGAAACGUUUGACCCAAGUUCAACAAUAUAAAGGCAAUGCUACCAAAUACUAAUUGGGUGCAUGUAAACUUCUGAGCCACUGCGAAUGCGAUGAAAGAAAUAAAAUCUGAAAUAAAUCAUUCUCUCUACUAUUAUUCUUGACAUUUCACAUUCUUAAAAUAAAGUGGUGAUCCUAACUGAUCUAAGACAGAAAUUUUUACAAGGAUUAAAUGUCAGGAAUUGUGAAAAACUGAGUUAAAAUGUAUUUGGCUAAGGUGUAUGUAAACUUCCGACUUCAACUGUACCUACUUAUUAACAAAAUUAAGGAAGUUUCUUUAAAAAGUAUUAAUACAUAUUAUCCUGCCAACCACUAUAUGAAGUGAUAAAAAUAAAAAAAUACCACCC
ensembl:lncRNA